rnacentral:rRNA from 1 species
AUUGAACGCUGGCGGCAGGCCUAACACAUGCAAGUCGAACGGUAGCACAGAGAGCUUGCUCUCGGGUGACGAGUGGCGGACGGGUGAGUAACGUCUGGGAAACUGCCCGAUGGAGGGGGAUAACUACUGGAAACGGUAGCUAAUACCGCAUAACGUCGCAAGACCAAAGUGGGGGACCUUCGGGCCUCACACCAUCGGAUGUGCCCAGAUGGGAUUAGCUAGUAGGUGGGGUAAUGGCUCACCUAGGCGACGAUCCCUAGCUGGUCUGAGAGGAUGAGCAACCACACUGGAACUGAGACACGGUCCAGACUCCUACGGGAGGCAGCAGUGGGGAAUAUUGCACAAUGGGCGCAAGCCUGAUGCAGCCAUGCCGCGUGUAUGAAGAAGGCCUUCGGGUUGUAAAGUACUUUCAGCGGGGAGGAAGGCGGUGAAGUUAAUAACUUCACCGAUUGACGUUACCCGCAGAAGAAGCACCGGCUAACUCCGUGCCAGCCGCCGCAGUAA